rnacentral:ncRNA from 1 species
AACCAGUACCGUGAGGGAAAGGUGAAAAGAACCCCGAACAGGGGAGUGAAAUAGAACCUGAAACCGUGUACUUACAAGCGGUCGGAGCUGGCAGGUCCAGUGACGGCGUGCCUUUUGCAUAAUGAGCCUACGAGUUACUCUUCUCUGGCAAGGUUAAGUGCUUCAGGCACGGAUCCGAAGCGAAAGCGAGUCUGAAUAGGGCGUAUAGUCAGAGGAGGUAGACGCGAAACCUUGUGAUCUACCCAUGGACAGGUUGAAGGUGCGGUAACACGUACUGGAGGACCGAACCGAUAAACGUUGAAAAGUUUCCGGAUGAUCUGUGGGUAGGGGUGAAAGGCUAAUCAAACUGGGAAAUAGCUCGUACUCCCCGAAAUGUUUUUAGGAACAGCGUCGGCAUUGAGUUACAUAGAGGUAGAGCUACUGAUUGGGUGCGGGGGAGUCAAAUCCUACCAAAUCCAGACAAACUCCGAAUGCUAUGUAAUAUGGCCGGCAGUGAGGCGCGGGGUGCUAAGGUCACGCGCCGAGAGGGAAAGAACCCAGACCAUCAGCUAAGGUCCCCAAGUUACGGUUAAGUUGAACUAACGAGGUCCGAUUGCACAGACAGCUAGGAUGUUGGCUUGGAAGCAGCCAUUCAUUUAAAGAGUGCGUAACAGCUCACUAGUCGAGCGAUCGGGCAUGGAUAAUAAACGGGCAUUAAACCGUACACCGAAGCUAUGGGAUUGAAAUAUAUCGGUAGGGGAGCAUUCUAUGUGCAGUGAAGGUAUCUGGUAAUGGGUGCUGGAGCGCAUAGAAAAGCAAAUGUAGGCAUAAGUAACGAUAAGGCGGGCGAGAAACCCGCCCACCGAAAGGAUAAGGUUUCCUGAUCAACGCUAAUCGGAUCAGGGUCAGUCGGGACCUAAGGAGAACCCGAAGGGGAAAUUCGAUGGACAACUGGUUAAUAUUCCAGUACUUUUUAUAACUGCGAUGUGGGGACGGAGUAGUGACACUGCCGCGAUCUGACGGAAUAGAUCGUUGAAG